rnacentral:rRNA from 1 species
GUUAAGUCAGAUGUGAAAGACCCGGGGCGUUAACCUCGGAAUUGCAUUUGAAACUGGCAGGCUAGAGUCUUGUAGAGGGGGGUAGGAAGUUUCAGGUGUAGCGGUGAAAUGCGUAGAGAUCUGAAGGAAUACCAGUGGCGAAGGCGCCCCCCUCGGACAAAGACUGACGCUCAGAUGCGAAAGCGUGGGGAGCAAACAGGAUUAGAUACCCCUGGUAG